AACGAACGCUGGCGGCAUGCCUAACACAUGCAAGUCGAACGAGACCUUCGGGUCUAGUGGCGCACGGGUGCGUAACGCGUGGGAACCUGCCCUUAGGUUCGGAAUAACUCCCCGAAAGGGGUGCUAAUACCGGAUAAUGUCUUCGGACCAAAGAUUUAUCGCCUUUGGAUGGGCCCGCGUUGGAUUAGCUAGUUGGUAGGGUAAAAGCCUACCAAGGCGACGAUCCAUGGCUGGUCUGAGAGGAUGAUCAGCCACACUGGGACUGAGACACGGCCCAGACUCCUACGGGAGGCAGCAGUGGGGAAUAUUGGACAAUGGGCGAAAGCCUGAUCCAGCAAGGCCGCGUGAGUGAUGAAGGCCUUAGGGUUGUAAGGCUCUUUUACCCGGGAUGAUAAUGACAGUACCGGGAGAAUAAGCUCCGGCUAACUCCGUG
rnacentral:rRNA from 1 species